AAACAAUAUAGCUUGUUUGUGUAGAGUAGAGCUUAUUAGUCUUGAAAAACUAAAUUCAAUGGCGGCUUGGUAACUAUAUAGAGAGGUGUGCUUUAUUAAAUCGACAAUGCACGAAUAUCUUAUCUAAUUUUGCUUGAUUCAUUUUACACACCGCCGUCGGAAGAGUAUUUUUAAAAGAUUAUUCUGUUUCUUAUAUGAAGAUGUAAGUCAGGUCAAGGCGUAGAUGAUAGUUAGGUUAAAGUGCAACUCUAUAAUAAUAUUAUGUCUAAUUUAUUUAUAUAAUUACUUUUGUAAUGGUUUAAAUAUAAUUUAGUAAUUGAAUUUAUAAGUAAGAUUUGUUUACUAUACUAA
rnacentral:rRNA from 1 species